GUCACGGGAACGUCAGGUGAAUCUUAUUGCCGCCAAAUUUUGGCCCAUCGGACGCCCUUCUGGAUUGCGACAAGAAGAUACUGCGUCGGGUCCGGUUCUUCCGGUCUCGGAUUCCUCAGCCCCCAGCCCCCCGCGGUCGUUGGGAUCGGACCCUGCGCAGGAAGUUAAUCCCCACUGGGCCAACGCAAGUUGGUCCUUUU
rnacentral:sRNA from 1 species